rnacentral:tRNA from 2 species
AGGUCGGCUCGCCUAUCAGCGGGGGCAACUGUCUGUAAAACAGCCGCUUCUUGCGUUGCAGGUGCGACUCCUGCCCGACCUACCA